CAGCGCCGCGGUAAAACGGAGGGUGCAAGCGUUAAUCGGAAUUACUGGGCGUAAAGCGCACGCAGGCGGUCUGACAAGUCAGAUGUGAAAUCCCCGGGCUUAACCUGGGAACUGCAUUUGAAACUGUCAGGCUGGAGUCUUGUAGAGGGGGGUAGAAUUCCAGGUGUAGCGGUGAAAUGCGUAGAGAUCUGGAGGAAUACCGGUGGCGAAGGCGGCCCCCUGGACAAAGACUGACGCUCAGGUGCGAAAGCGUGGGGAGCAAACAUGAUUAGAUACCCCUGUAGUCCCUGUCUCUUAUACA
rnacentral:rRNA from 1 species